rnacentral:rRNA from 1 species
GAUGAACGCUGGCGGCGUGCCUAAUACAUGCAAGUCGAACGAACAGACGAGGAGCUUGCGCUUCUGACGUUAGCGACUGACGGGUGAGUAACACAUGGAUAACCUACCUAUAUUUCGUGGAUGACUACGUGAAAACGCAGCUAAUACCAGAUCAUAUAUUCUACCGCAGGGUUCAGUAGUGAAACGCGGUUUUCCUGUCACUUAUAGAUGAAUCCGGGCCGCAUUAGUUAGUUGGUAAGGUAACGGCUUACCAAGGCAACGAUGCGUAGCCGACCUGAGAGGAUGAUCGGCCACACUGGAACUGAGACACGGUCCAGACUCCUACGGGAGGCAGCAGUAGGGAAUAUUGCGCAAUGGGCGAAAGCCUGACCGAGCAACACCGCGUGAGUGAUGAAGGUCUUCGGAUCGUAAAGCUCUUUUAUUGGGAAAGAAAAGCUGUGGAUGUAUCUAUCGACGUUUUGACGGUACCUAAUGAGAAAGCCACGGCUAACUACGUG